rnacentral:rRNA from 1 species
CCCUUAGAUGUCCUGGGCUGCACGCGCGCUACACUGAUGUGUCCAGUAAGCACCUAACCUCUUCCGAAAGGAACGGGUAAACUUUGCAAAGCACAUCGUGAUGGGGAUAGAUUAUUGCAAUUAUUAGUCUUGAACGAGGAAUUCCUAGUAAGCACAAGUCAUCAGCUUGUGUUGAUUACGUCCCUGCCCUUUGUACACACCGCCCGUCGCUCCUACCGAUUGAAUGUUCCGGUGAGCUCUUCGGACUGCGCGGUCUGCAGUUUCUGCGUUCCGUGCGGAAAGUUGCGCAAACCUUAACAUUUAGAGGAAGGAGAAGUCGUAACA